rnacentral:rRNA from 1 species
AGGACGAACGCUGGCGGCGUGCUUAACACAUGCAAGUCGAGCGGAAAGGCCCUUCGGGGUACUCGAGCGGCGAACGGGUGAGUAACACGUGAGCAACCUGCCCCUGGCUCUGGGAUAGCCUCCGGAAACGGGGAUUAAUACCGGACAUUCUCCGCCUUCCGCAUGGUUGGCGGUGGAAAGUUUUUCGGCCGGGGAGGGGCUCGCGGCCUAUCAGCUUGUUGGCGGGGUAACGGCCCACCAAGGCGACGACGGGUAG